UCCAGAUGUAACAAGAUGAGAUUUGGUGUUGAGAAUCUCGAAAGACGACAGUUAUGACUGUCAUAUUUGCUUCAGAGCCAACUAUCGUGUCGCGGUUGUUUAAAUUUGAAAAGAGGCGUAAGAUUUCUAAAUCGGUCUGAGUUCGAUUGGAGGACUUUGGAUCGGCUAGCGGUGUGGUUGGCAGGAAUAUUUUUUUGAUGAUGGUAGCUGGGAUUGACGGUCAACAUUAGGAUCGAUGGCUGAAAUCAAGAGGCUUUUCGGUUUAUAACACUACUUAAGGAGAUUCGGUCGGAAGGUGAAGCUGGUAUCUAGGAUCGAUAAGGUCUGAAGUCAUCCGGAUUGUUUAUGUUUUCGAUUUGGAUGACACAUUACCUCCAAUAAAUAAGUUUUGCAAUUUAAGCCAAGUUCAGACCACGAAGAUACG
rnacentral:lncRNA from 1 species